CUUUCAGGAAGUAAGCAAGCAGCUGCUCUGAGUCCAUGAAGGAUACAGGUUUCAAUUUCAACAGGGACAACAUGGGUUUGACAUAAAUGGCAACUGUCUAAAUCUAGAAGUUUUUCUUAACUGGGUCUGAAAAGAGCAGUAGUGACUUGGUUCCAAGAUACCUGAUCAGCCAUGAAGAGAACAGAAGUCCUUGUUGAGAAGGCCAAGACAAUGUGAGUGAAUGAACAUGGAGACAUUGUGGAGACGGAAUUAAGAGAGUUAAAUGGAGUUGAACUCAGGGCCUCGAGUUUACCAGGCAGGUGCUAUGCUGCUGACCUGAGCUAAAUCCCCAGCCCUAUGUUCUUCUUUUGGAUUAGAAGCAUUGGAAUGGCUGUAAAGGAGAGAUGAUCAAUGAAACAGAGGAUGUCAAGGACAGGGCUGACAUUUCCUUAUAGAAUGUUAUCUAAGGGCCCCCCUGGGAUGCAGCUGCCCCCAGAACUUGUAAUGUGACUCUUCAGGAGGAAAGAGUGCUUCCAGUGGGCUGGAUACCUUUAAGGUAAGAAAUAUGGGCAUAAACUGAAGGCAUAAAAGGAAUUUGGCAAAUAUGAUGGUGUGGUAACCCACUGGAGUAAAAGUAAAAAAUUAA
rnacentral:lncRNA from 1 species